rnacentral:rRNA from 1 species
UACGUAGGGUGCGAGCGUUAAUCGGAAUUACUGGGCGUAAAGUGUGCGCAGGCGGCAGAGCAAGUCGAGUGUGAAAGCCCCGGGCUUAACUUGGGAAUUGCGCUCGAAACUACUUUGCUGGAGUGUGGCAGGAGGAAGUGGAAUUCCACGUGUAGCGGUGAAAUGCGUAGAGAUGUGGAGGAACACCAAUGGCGAAGGCAGCCAUUCUGGGCC